GUGGGGAAUCUUGCGCAAUGGGCGAAAGCCUGACGCAGCCAUGCCGCAUGAAUGAUGAAGGUCUUAGGAUUGUAAAAUUCUUUCACCGGGGACGAUAAUGACGGUACCCGGAGAAGAAGCCCCGGCUAACUUCGUGCCAGCAGCCGCGGUAAUACGAAGGGGGCUAGCGUUGCUCGGAAUUACUGGGCGUAAAGGGCGCGUAGGCGGACAGUUUAGUCAGAGGUGAAAGCCCAGGGCUCAACCUUGGAAUUGCCUUUGAUACUGGCGGUCUUGAGUACGGGAGAGGUGAGUGGAACUCCGAGUGUAGAGGUGAAAUUCGUAGAUAUUCGGAAGAACACCAGUGGCGAAGGCGACUCACUGGCCCGUUACUGACGCUGAGGCGCGAAAGCGUGGGGAGCAAACAGGAUUAGAAACCCGAGUAGUCC
rnacentral:rRNA from 1 species